GCACAAUGAAGCCAGCAUUACCGACAACUGGUUCGAGAAUCACAGCAGCAAUCUCAUUUUUAUUGGUGUCAAAGAUCUUCUUUACUGCUUCAAUGUCAUUGUAAGGUGCAGUUAGAGUCUCGGAUGUGGCAGCUUUCGGGACACCAGGGGAAUCAGGUAGGCCAAGGGUUGCCACCCCACUGCCGGCUUUGACAAGGAAGGGGUCUGCAUGGCCAUGGUAGCAGCCCUCGAAUUUAAUGAUCUUUUCACGGCCAGUAAAUGCACGGGCAAGGC
rnacentral:misc_RNA from 1 species